GAGCAUGUGGCUCAAUGGUAGAGCGUUCGACUCAAAUACCAAAGGUCGCGGGUUCGGAUCCCAGGUUUU
rnacentral:tRNA from 1 species